rnacentral:rRNA from 1 species
CGACCGCUGGCGGCGUGCUUAACACAUGCAAGUCGAACGGAAAGGCCCUGCUUUUGUGGGGUGCUCGAGUGGCGAACGGGUGAGUAACACGUGAGUAACCUGCCCUUGACUUUGGGAUAACUUCAGGAAACUGGGGCUAAUACCGGAUAGGAGCUCCUGCUGCAUGGUGGGGGUUGGAAAGUUUCGGCGGUUGGGGAUGGACUCGCGGCUUAUCAGCUUGUUGGUGGGGUAGUGGCUUACCAAGGCUUUGACGGGUAGCCGGCCUGAGAGGGUGACCGGCCACAUUGGGACCGAGAUACGGCCCAGACUCCUACGGGAGGCAGCAGUGGGGAAUAUUGCACAAUGGGCGGAAGCCUGAUGCAGCAACGCCGCGUGCGGGAUGACGGCCUUCGGGUUGUAAACCGCUUUCGCCUGUGACGAAGCGUGAGUGACGGUAAUGGGUAAAGAAGCACCGGCUAACUACGUG